rnacentral:tRNA from 1 species
GCUCGGCCUGGCCGGGGCCAAGGACGGCUGCUCCCAGGGGGAGUGCGGCGCCUGCUCGGUCCAGGUGGACGGGCG